rnacentral:rRNA from 1 species
UGAUGUCGUAACAAGGUCUCCGUUGGUGAACCAGCGGAGGGAUCAUUACCGAGUUUACAACUCCCAAACCCAAUGUGAACGUUACCAAACUGUUGCCUCGGCGGGAUCUCUGCCCCGGGUGCGUCGCAGCCCCGGACCAAGGCGCCCGCCGGAGGACCAACCAAAACUCUUUUGUAUACCCCCUCGCGGGUUUUUUAUAUCUGAGCCAUCUCGGCGCCUCUCGUAGGCGUUUCGAAAAUGAAUCAAAACUUUCAACAACGGAUCUCUUGGUUCUGGCAUCGAUGAAGAACGCAGCGAAAUGCGAUAAGUAAUGUGAAUUGCAGAAUUCAGUGAAUCAUCGAAUCUUUGAACGCACAUUGCGCCCGCCAGUAUUCUGGCGGGCAUGCCUGUCCGAGCGUCAUUUCAACCCUCGAACCCCUCCGGGGGGUCGGCGUUGGGGAUCGGCCCUUUACGGGGCCGGCCCCGAAAUACAGUGGCGGUCUCGCCGCAGCCUCUCCUGCGCAGUAGUUUGCACACUCGCAUCGGGAGCGCGGCGCGUCCAUUGCCGUAAAACACCCAACUUUCUGAAUAUGUUAGAGCUCUG